CAUGUUGUAAUCCAUUGCGUAAAGAAAAACAUAACAGAGUUUAUCUCAAAAGUGACUGAAAAGCGGAACAGUGUUUUUUCAAAUUUAAUUGGGGAAUAUUUAUGCGAAACAUGCAAAAUAUAUGUAUAUCAAGAAGGGAAGCGAUGUUAUUCCAAUACCAAAACCAUCUCAAAUAUCUUUCGCUGCUCUUGAUCGGGAGUCUGGCGAGGAAAACAGUAACGACAGUGACUCCGAUUCAGAUUUUGAAGGAGAAUUCCUUACUUGUGACGAAGGAAAAAAUUUAAUUGCACCCGACUUUAAAAAAGAUGUUGCAACAACAGCAAACGUUAAAGUCGCUUUGUCAAAGGAAGGGGACACGAAAAAAAUCCAAUUAUUAACAACAGUGCCUAUAGAUUGGAAUGCUGCGAAAAUUCGUAAUUUAUUAGGCGUACCCGUUACAUGGCUGAAAUUGUACCUAAAUUGCGAAAAAAAAUCAGGAUAUGUUGCAUCUCCUGAUAAAAAAAUUGGACGAGUUUUAGCGAAUUCCGUUGUUGAAAAGGUUCAACUAUUUUAUGAAAUGGAUAAAAACAGGCGUUUUAUGCCCGGGAAGAAAGACUGUAUUUCAAUUUGAAUCAAUGGAAAUAAAAAUAGUGUUCAAGAAAGGCUGUUGCUCUGUAAUUUGAGAGAGCCUCAUAAAAAGUUUUUGUGGAAAUAUCCGGAUGUAAGGACAAGUCUCUAAAUUCACAAACCUUCGACCAGCUUCUUGCGUAGUUGUUGGGUGUAAAAGUAUGUGUUUGCAAAACGCAGCAAAACAUGAAAUUUAAAAUUCAUGGAUUAACAGGAUCGGGUCAAACAUAUUCGAUAAGUGACUUAACCAAACAAAUUAUCUGUCCCUAUCCAAAUGACCGUUGCAAUUUGUUAGCUUGUGAUCAAUGUCCCGGAGUUUCAUUGCUGUCCAAAAAUCUUUCCUCUUGUUUCAAGGCUAAGCGUAUUUCUGAAAUUCAUUUUAAGGAAUGGACUUGCACUGACAGUGAUUUGCAGGUGUGGACUGGUUGAUAAAGUCGAAAAAACUGACGUGUUCUUGAAAAAUUUUGAAAAGGAAUUACCGUUAUAUUUGAAGCAUGAUUCCAUAUCUAAGUCUCAGGCCCAGUAUUUGUUAUAUUUGAAAGAAAAUUUACAAGAUGCAGAGUUUCUAGUUACCCUAGACUUUGUCGAAAACUAUAGUUUUAAGAUACAGGAUGCAGUUCAAUCGUAUCAUUGGUCAAAUGAUCAGGCUACACUGCAUCCUUAUGUUAUAUACAUAUUACAAAAAUGAAAUUACCAUUGUAAACGAAUGUUUUGUCGUGAUAUCAGAAACGAAUAUUCAAAACACCGUCGCAGUUCACCUAUUCAACACGAAAAUUAUAAAUAAUUUAAAACUUAUUUUUGGGACCGAAAAUGUGAAGAGAAUCUUUUUUCUGACGGAUGUGCAGCUCAAUACAAAAACAAGUUCAAUUUUGCACUGUUGACACUGAAUGGCAUUUUUUUCAACCUCACACGGAAAAGGUGCCUGUGAUGGAGUUGGAGGCACCGUGAAAAGAUUGGCAUAUCGUGUAAGCUUACAAAGACUUCUUAGUAACCAAAUACCUACACCUUAUCAAUUGUUUCUGUGGGCAAACCAAUAUUUCGAUAAUAUUGAGUUCGAAUUUGCUUCUAAAAUCGAACACGAGAAACAAGAAAGAAAACUUCAAAAACGAGAAACAUGAAAGAAACUGCAAUAGCUAAGACAAUAAAAGGAAUGCGUCACUUUAAAUUUUCUAAGCCUAUUGAUUUUAAGAACAUUGAAUGUAGAGCAAGGCAUAUUAAACAAGGUAGAAGUGAUUUUGACAUUUCUCUCUUUUGAACACCGACUAUAAUGUCAAAUGAUGAAUAACUAUUAACCCUUUCCAAGUUGGAAUUUUCUACUUUUCAUUAAAAAUUCAAUUGUGUGCUUUGAGAUAGUUUUGAAUUGUGUACAUUUUUUUUUUUGGUUUUCGACCACAUGCAUUUAUAGAUACAUACAUAUACAAAAAUUAAAAGGAGCAGGAACUACGAGCGUUGCAUUGUGUGGAAAGUGGUGUGAUACUUUAAGGCGCCUAGUUGCGAAGUUAGAAGACUUGGUUGCCUGAUGCACACGGAAUUUCAGAACUGAGUAAGAGUAGUUUCUUACAAUAUUAAUUAUAAUCACGCCAGGACCUAGAUUUACACUUAUAUACAUACCAGGGUUGUUGCGAAUAUUCGCAUUCGCAUUCGCAA
rnacentral:lncRNA from 1 species